ACCUGCCCAUUGGAAUCUAAAAGGCCGCGGUAUUAUGACCGUGCUAAGGUAGCAUAAUCAUUAGUCUUUUAAUUGGAGGCUGGUAUGAAUGGUUGGACAAGAAAUAAGCUGUCUUAAAUAAAAAUAUUGAAUUUAACUUUUAAGUGAAAAGGCUUAAAUUUUCUAAGGGGACGAUAAGACCCUAUAAAACUUUAUAUUUUAAAAUAAUAAUUAAUUUUUAUAUAGAAGAUUUAUUUUUAAAUAUUUUAUUGGGGUGAUAAAGAUAAAAUGUGAGAUAACUGUCUUUUUUUUUUUACAAUUAAUAUUUGAGUAAAAGAUCUUAACAAAGGAAAUAAGAGAUUAAGUUACUUUAGGGAUAACAGCGUAAUUUUCUUUAAGAGUUCUUAUCGACAAGAAAGUUUGCGACCUCGAUGUUGAAUUAAAAGUUCUUUAUAGAGUAAAUAUUAUAAUAGAGGGUCUGUUCGACCCUUAAAAUUUUACGUG
rnacentral:rRNA from 1 species